GUGCUCGCUUCGGCAGCACAUAUACUAAAACUGGAACAAUACAGAGAUCAGCAUGGCCCCUGCGCAAGGAUGACACGCAAAUUCGUGAAGCAUUCCAUAUUUUU